GUCCACGCCCUAAACGAUGUCGACUAGGUGUUGGGGAAGGAGACUUCCUUAGUACCGCAGCUAACGCGUGAAGUCGACCGCCUGGGGAGUACGGUCGCAAGAUUAAAACUCAAAGGAAUUGACGGGGACCCGCACAAGCGGUGGAUGAUGUGGAUUAAUUCGAUGCAACGCGAAAACCUUACCUACCCUUGACAUGUCAGGAAGUCCGCUUAGAGGUGGAUGUGCCCGAAAGGUAACCUUAACACAGGUGCUGCAUGGCUGUCGU
rnacentral:rRNA from 1 species